GAUGAACGCUGGCGGCGUGCCUAACACAUGCAAGUCGAGCGAUUCUCUUCGGAGAAGAGCGGCGGACGGGUGAGUAACGCGUGGGUAACCUGCCCUGUACACACGGAUAACAUACCGAAAGGUAUGCUAAUACGAGAUAAUAUGCUUUUGUCGCAUGGCAGAAGUAUCAAAGCUCCGGCGGUACAGGAUGGACCCGCGUCUGAUUAGCUAGUUGGUAAGGUAACGGCUUACCAAGGCGACGAUCAGUAGCCGACCUGAGAGGGUGAUCGGCCACAUUGGAACUGAGACACGGUCCAAACUCCUACGGGAGGCAGCAGUGGGGAAUAUUGCACAAUGAGCGAAAGCCUGAUGCAGCAACGCCGCGUGAGCGAUGAAGGCCUUCGGGUCGUAAAGCUCUGUCCUCAAGGAAGAUGAUGACGGUACUUGAGGAGGAAGCCCCGGCUAACUACGUGCCAGCAGCCGCAGUAAGAC
rnacentral:rRNA from 1 species